CAGAAAGAGGUUGAAGAAGAGGAUGGUACUCGCACAUCCAAUGAGACCAUAAAAGAUCAGAAAAACCUUCCCUCCCGUUGUGGCUGGGGUCGUCAUCCCGAACCCUGAAGAAGACAAAAGCCAGAGGAGAAAAGAGGUGGUCACCUGCCAACACGCUCCACGUGAUGGUCUUUUGCAAGCAGGCACAGUUGACCUAGUGGAAAUGGUGACCCCUGACCUCAGAGCCUACAGCAAGGAUUCUGGGGAGAAGAGCUCUGGGCAUGUUCAGGGCUCCCCGGCCACGCAACCAGGCAGAUUGCCUGUCUACCUGAAGAGUCGUCCCUUAUAUACCAUCUCUCAAGUGACACAGGCAUUGCAGGUUGAUUGAACGUACUCUGCAGGAUCCCAACGGAGCCGGAAGGAAGCAGUGUUUACCACCCUGGGCUCUAAUGCCCACAGUAAACGCUGCACGCGCAGAUGCUACACGUUCUUCCUAAAGUUAA